AGCUUCCCACAUACCCCAAAUUGUUUGAUUCCUCGCAUCGACGAUACUCUCAAGAAUACACGGUCUCUAACUGCGAACUCUAAAUCUUUUCUCCGCUUGUCGGCAUGUUAAGGAUUUUAUAGGUUGGCGAAUUUCGUAAAGUUGUUUGGAGUCUUGAAGAGUUGAUCGCAGAAGAUUUUGAGAAAAGAUUCAAAUUGGAGGACAAAGACUCAUUCGGAAAGAUCGACACCUAAGGUAUGUAGAAAAGAUCAUUUGUGGUGAAGAUACAUGAUUAAAAUAAGUUCAGAAGGCUUAGAUUGUUUUUAAACAAAUUUUCUGAACUUUCUUGUGUUCUGGGACCGGUCUCUGAAAUGGAGAGACCGGUUCCCCCAAGGUCCUCACUGCGUAAACCUUGAU
rnacentral:lncRNA from 1 species